rnacentral:sRNA from 1 species
AACAAAGCCGCAACCUCUCUCGACAACGU